rnacentral:rRNA from 1 species
GACGAACGCUGGCGGCGUGCCUAAUACAUGCCAGUAGAACGCUGAAGGAGGAGCUUGCUCUUCUGGAUGAGUUGCGAACGGGUGAGUAACGCGUAGGUAACCUGCCUGGUAGCGGGGGAUAACUAUUGGAAACGAUAGCUAAUACCGCAUAACAGUAGAUGUUGCAUGACAUUUGCUUAAAAGGUGCAAUUGCAUCACUACCAGAUGGACCUGCGUUGUAUUAGCUAGUUGGUGGGGUAACGGCUCACCAAGGCGACGAUACAUAGCCGACCUGAGAGGGUGGUCGGCCACACUGGGACUGAGACACGGCCCAGACUCCUACGGGAGGCAGCAGUAGGGAAUCUUCGGCAAUGGACGGAAGUCUGACCGAGCAACGCCGCGUGAGUGAAGAAGGUUUUCGGAUCGUAAAGCUCUGUUGUAAGAGAAGAACGAGUGUGAGAGUGGAAAGUUCACACUGUGACGGUAUCUUACCAGAAAGGGACGGCUAACUACGUG